CCUACGGGUGACAGCAGUGAGGAAUAUUGGUCAAUGGGCUUACGCCUGAACCAGCCAAGUCGCGUGAGGGAAGACUGCCCUAUGGGUUGUAAACCUCUUUUGUCAGGGAGCAACGCCGGCGACGUGUAGCCGGACUGAGGUUACCUGAAGAAAAACCAUCGGCUAACUCCGUGCCAGCAGCCGCGGUAAUACGGAGGAUGCGAGCGUUAUCCGGAUUUAUUGGGUUUAAAGGGGGCGUAGGCGGAAUGCAAAGUCAGCGGUAAAAUCGCGGGGCUCAACCCCGCUCCGCCGUUGAAACUGGCGGUCUUGAGUGGGCGAGAAGUAUGCGGAAUGCGCGGUGUAGCGGUGAAAUGCAUAGAUAUCACGCAGAACUCCGAUUGCGAAGGCAGCAUACCGGCGCCCUACUGACGCUGAGGCACGAAAGCGUGGGUAUCGAACAGGAUUAGAUACCCUUGUAGUC
rnacentral:rRNA from 1 species